GCUAGCGCGUCAACGGGAGGAGCCUUGCAGGUGGCCACACUAUAUAUUUCUCCUCAUUUAGCCUGCUCUCUCCUUUAAUUUAAUCCCUAGACUUUCUCUUCUUUGUGCAUGUUCAUUUGUGUACGUGCCUAGAAGAUGCCACCAACAGCAAGAUCUGGGAGAAAGAGGAGGAGACAAAGAGGGAGAUGGGGUCGGAAGAAGAGAUGGUGAAAGUAUCUGCUUGGGACUUCAUGGCUAGGCCUGUUAUUGCUAAGGUGAAAUUGCUUAAGUAGUUGUAUUUUGUGAUUUGUGUACGCAUUACUUCUGCAACGUAAUUGUCUUGCAACUAUGAAAUGAAUAUUUUGCUGAUCUUCAGUUGGCAGCCCGUCACACUGUUGCACACUGCUACAUUUGUACUACCCCCAGCUGGUCCAAGUAGAGGAGAUAAGGCGCGUAUUUGGAUGUACAUGCCCACCACUCAUUGUAUCCAACCAUUAGCAUAUGUAUUUAGAUUUAGCCUGCAAAAGCUUGAGUAAAUUGUGAUCUUGGAAUUGUAUCUAUAAGUAAACAUUGUUCACUGAUUUAUCAUGUUUUGGAUGUUCCUCUUCAGUCUUCAGGAGAUGCUUGCACCUUGGUCAGGUGGAGAGGCUGCCGAGCAGCAACCAGGUGGUGGCUAUUUUGUCUACUGCAUCUGAGGCUAAGUCAAUGCUGACACCGGGUACUGCAUGUCCUUGCAAUGAAUAAGUAAAUAUGCUAUAGAUAGUAACAUCCAGUUGGAUCUCUACCAAGCUCUUAAAAUGGGCUAGGCAUUCAGGGCUUCAUGCUUUGUUAAUGCCAACAUGUUUGGUAGAGUCGUCAUUUUUGGCUAAUUUUCUUUCUGCAUAUAAUAGUGAGAGGUACAUGCUUAUUGAGCCUUUUCUUAUGUUUGUUCAGGUUCAGGUCAGCCAUGGAUCUCUUCGUCCAUAAAUAAGAAAAUGUUUGUCAUUAGCCCUUCUCAAACUGUAGCUGUACAGAUUUAAUGUAUUUCUACAACGGAAAGAACCAUGAACCUGUAGAUGUAUUUUUCCUUUAGUCGUCUUUUGGUCUGAAAGCAUGUUUUUAUACCCAUCGAUUGAUGAAACCAUACAUCUGGAGGUGUACUCUUUUCCAUGGAAAUGAAAUCCUUCCCUUUUUAGCUUCAGGAAUUAACUUUAUUGUAACUUCCCUUUCACGAAAGAGGUAUGCAUUUUUUGGCUUAAGAAGCAUGAGCUAUAUUUACAUCUCUUUGUCGCCUGCUAGAUGGUUUUGUCUAAACGAAAAGGUUACACACUACCAAAUAUUUUCCAGCUAUCUCUUGAGUGAUCUUGCUUGUCAGUAAUGUUUACAGUUUACACUACCUAAAUCCUAAGCUAAGGUUUAUCAGUAAUUAGAUAUACUUAGGUAAGUAGAGCUGUACAAGCCUAAUAAUAAAGGUUCAUCAAAUGGGGAACUUUUCAUGUACAUGAUCACAUUUUUUGUUGGCCUUCGUUUUUUAUUUUCCUCCCCUGAACUGGGACAACGUAGCCUCUGUUCCCUUGAUUGUGUGGCUUUGAUCAGUUGGUGUAGAUUCUAUUGUUUGCUAUCUCGAGCAAUAUCAUAAAAAUCCGAUAUUGUAGAUUUGUAGACUAAAAUAGUCGCUCAUCCUCACUAUUCGAUUUUGGGCGUCCCUCUUAAUGUUUCUCCAACUGGCUACGUAGUUGUGUUUUAGUUGAUGCUGUAGAAUUUCAUUUUCUUGAAUGUGGAAGGAUACUGAAAGGGAUACAUUUCAGUUCUCAUAUUAUUAGAAUAUAUACCUGCUCCCUGUCUUUUUGGAUAUGUACUUCUGUUAGCUAUGUGAGCUAUGGCUGUCCUGUAACAUGUACUUCUUGGGGGCAGUAGCACUACUCAUCUGCAUGUACAAUGUUUAUUUAAGAUACAAGACAGAAUGACUGCAGUCUUGGUUGAUACCUGAUCAAAAUCACCUAUUUAGCUUUACUGGAAAUGUUCAGUUUCUUACCAGUUAUCAUUUGUUGUCAAUAUAAAAAAAGUUUGUUGCUAAGAGAAAACUCUUCCAAUUGAUGUUUGGGGAAUGAUGUGCAUGGUAUUUAACUUUAUAGUGAGGUUCUAUUUUACUUGCAUUUGUCUUGCUAUGUUACACCAGAUGCUUAAAGUGCAUUUGUUUUGACAACUAAAGAGUGGUGAGGAUUCAUCACCCUACUUCACUCGAGUUGCUUCAGCAUCUGCCAUCAUCUUUUGUUGUUUAUACUUUUGUAAAAUCUAUAGAUUUCUCAGCGGAAAACUGAUAGAUUCAAAAGAUGCAUCAAAGAUUUCUACUUCACUCUUUAGUGUUAUUUAUAGUUUUGUGUUUAACAACUUGACUACCUAUCAUCUCUCUCCUACGACAAUUUAAUGUGAACUUAAUUACCACUAGAUAUGCGAAUGUAAUGUUUACAUCUUAUCAAUAUGUACAUGCACGAUUAGUUAUUCAGGUGAACACUACUUUACCUUGUCGGCCUUAGAUUGCAGUAUUAGGCUCCUCCACUCAUUGCUUUGCUUAGUUAAAUUUGUGGGAGAAAACAAAUAUAUAUGUAUGCAUUUAUUAUGUUUAGUUUCUUUGACCUAAUUUUAUAGAGGAAAAUCUUAUUUUUCUGAUAAUUUGUUUCUUGUGCAGAAGAAUCACAAUGCUUACAAAUAUUGUUCUGAAUAUAUGGAUUUUUCGGUAAGCUCAUCAUUCAUUCGGUUAAGCAUACAACCUUCUGUUUCAUCUACAGAACAGAAGAGGUAAGCCUACUUUUGAGGCUGAGUCGACAAUGCUUCCUUUUGUAUCGGCGUUCACAAGAUGACAAUGUCAUGAAAUUAAAUACCCCCUUUACAAGCUGUAAGGAAACCCCACUUUUUUAUAAAAAUGAAGGAGUAGAAAAUGUAGUUGCACGGUUAGGUAAUUUACUGGUGAGCCUACAGAUCCGGAAUGUUGAGAAGCACAAUUGUGUGUGCCUAAUAUUAUUAUAUUUCUUUUGCAACAGUUUGCCCCCCAGCACUUCGAAUAGCUUACAGUCACGUGAAUAUGCAACCUCAUAUCAAAAGAAAUGAUAUUCACCUCUACUUUCAUGGCAAAAUGUAUAGGGGAAGUUAAAGGUUUAUUUAAUAUCGGUGCAGUUGUGCAAACAUUGCAGGACAAGGACUAAAAUUUAUGUACAAUAUUCAUUUAGAAUUGGUUUUUAAAUUGGCAAGAUGGUAAGAGAAACUUGAAUAUGAGGUCAGUGGGAAUGAAAGUUUGUCUUAAAAAUGAGGUCUAUAAGAAGCAAUUAAAAAUCUUAUUCAUCACCAAUAAUGAUGUUGUCUCUAGCUUUAUAUAAAUAAAUAGUUGGUGCUUGUUAGGUCUUAAAUAUAUGUCAACUCAAGACCUAUAUGUCUUUUAUACCAGACAACAUGACUAAUUCCUAAUUGUUCCCCCUCAAACUCUGUUUGUAGCCUGCCUACUGUUUGUUACAGCCGAACAGGAGCAUGUUUCAUAUCAUGACCCAUGAUCAACAGCGGGUGCUGCCUCUGCUUCUUAAGGCUUGACUUCGCUCUAUGGAAGGUAAUAAACGUCCCAUUUCCCUAUUUCCAGCACGUAGAUUAUUCUGUGUCUGCUCUCUGAAGAGAUGAUUUAGAUGUUUAGUUCAGUACUGGGUUAGUUGGUUCUAAGUGAACUUAGGGUGCGAAAGAUGGGGAUCCAUGUAUGGUGGGAUAACCCUUGGGGCGUGGGCAGGCCGGGAUGUCGUGCGAUGAAUGUACACUAUCCGGCAAUUCUUUUGACAUUCUCUUUAUACUGCUGAGAUCUUGCUGGCACUGAAAAUCUAUAAUAUAGUUGCAGUGUCAUCCCAAUUAUCUUCUUGCCAUAUUAGUAGCUUAGAAAAUAAAUCCCUCCUCUGUUUUUUACCCUUUCCUCACUGUAAUUUGUAUAUACAUAAACAAUAUGCAAGUUGAGUAUAUAUAUGGCAUGACCAAGUUUUCGGGAGACAGCUGGUUUUACUAUUCGUGCUGAAUUCUGUCUUUGGUACCUCCAGUUUCAGUGCAAUACUUUUGGGUCUGUACUUCCUGGUUAAAGUUGGUUGAUGGACAACCAAUUAAAUCCAAUCAACUAUCUCCAGCACUAAAUACUGACGUACUGAGCCAACGACCUAUUGGUCCAGUGUGUGUUGCAUUUUCUACUUGCACUUGUAACCUAGUGUGAUGUUUUGGAAGGUAUCAUAUUGGUGAUAGUCUGCAAGCCAUUGUUCUUGUCAUGUAAUCUCAGAUUUUACGGGUGUCAUCAUGCAGGUCGAUUAGAACAAUGUGUAAUUAUUUAUGCCAGAUGUGUAUCCUCAAGGAUUUUGCUUGGUAACUUAGUGUGUAUCAAAGGAUUCUGAAAAAAAUAAGGUGAGUUGUUAUCGGACAUUGGACCCAUCCUCAUAGAACCAUCAAUAGAAUGAGUGAAGCGCCUCUCAUUUAGAGAAGAAAGAAAUGUGAAGAAUGGGGCUAUUCAUUGAUGCUCAAGUCCUCGAAGAAAUUACAUGAAGGCGGUGAGUGACCUGGUCUUGACUAAACAACCUUUUUUUCAGUGGUGCAUGAUUUUCUGAAGUUUCUUUGCUUGGAGAAGAGUAUGUCUAUGUUAGACCUUAUAGAAGCAUGCAUUUCCCCCUAUGCCCGCUGCGAGAUUCAUUAUGCACACACUAUUAACUGUAAGAUUUAAUUUAUAUUUAAAGAUGAGCUUAUAUAAGGUUCUACAUUCCAAUCGCCCAUGUGGGAGAGGCUGUAUGGUCAAGAAAGGAUGGGUUGGUUCAUUUGGUAAUAUAUUUCUCAACAAAAGCACAAAUUGCACAUAUUUCUCAACCAGCAAGUUUUUUUCUUUAUCGGACCAGUUUCUUUUCUUACUGGGAAGCAUGACUCCAUUGUGUCAAAUCGUAUCAUAUGGUUGGGUUGUUGGGUAAGCAAUUCUUUAUUGGGGUGUGAUACCAUUGGUGCAGCUAUUGAUUGUUCUGUGUUCCCUCAUGUAUUUUCAAUUGUCACUAAGAUUAAAUUUCUGAUAUGUGUUAUGUUUCUCUUUAGUUUGAAGUAGGAGUAUCCUUUCGAAUAAUAUUGUUACAACAAUGAAAAACAAUCUGCAGACUCACUUGCAAAGGUGGAAAUGGAGAGAAAGUUGUUGAUGCUCAAAUCACGCAAUGAAGUAUGGAGCAAGAAGAGACAAAUCUGGAAACAAUUAACUUCCCAUUUUUGUGUGGCCUAUUCUUAGGUUGUAUCGGUUGUGGCAUUGACACUCGGUUUUUUUCUAUUACUCCUGAUGUUGGCCAUUUGAUGAAUAAUUGAUGAAUGCUCAAUUGUUUGGAGUUGAAUUUAAGAAUAUACCAGCAAUACAAGAAAGUUUUUUUUGACGGUGUAUAUGUUUCAUUUCUUAUUUUUCUGAGAAAUAAAACAUCAUUAAUUUUUUA
rnacentral:lncRNA from 1 species